GGUCGAUUAGCUCAGUUGGUUAGAGCGUCGUAUGUUUUCGCCUUUCCACACCAUCCAAAGACGCAUUACUGACAUCACCAGGUACUAAUAUAACAUCAGUUAUAUACAGUGAUGCGAAGGUCAUGGGUUCGACCCCCAUAUUGACCA